rnacentral:rRNA from 1 species
AUGAACGCUGGCGGCGUGCCUAAUACAUGCAAGUCGAGCGAACGGACGAGAAGCUUGCUUCUCUGAUGUUAGCGGCGGACGGGUGAGUAACACGUGGAUAACCUACCUAUAAGACUGGGAUAACUUCGGGAAACCGGAGCUAAUACCGGAUGAUAUUUUGAACCGCAUGGUUCAAAAGUGAAAGACGGUCUUGCUGUCACUUAUAGAUGGAUCCGCGCUGCAUUAGCUAGUUGGUAAGGUAACGGCUUACCAAGGCAACGAUGCAUAGCCGACCUGAGAGGGUGAUCGGCCACACUGGAACUGAGACACGGUCCAGACUCCUACGGGAGGCAGCAGUAGGGAAUCUUCCGCAAUGGGCGAAAGCCUGACGGAGCAACGCCGCGUGAGUGAUGAAGGUCUUCGGAUCGUAAAACUCUGUUAUUAGGGAGGAACAUAUGUGUAAGUAACUGUGCACAUCUUGACGGUACCUAAUCAGAAAGCCACGGCUAACUACGUG